GCGAAGGAGGUGGGAGGCGGCGCGGUAAUACGUAGGGGGCAGACUUGAAGCGGAAUUACUGGGCGGAAAGCGUGCGCAGGCGGUUUUGUAAGACAGAGGGGAAAGCCCCGGGCUCAACCUGGGAACUGCCUUUGGGACUGCAAGGCUGGAGUGCGGCAGAGGGGGAUGGAAUUCCGCGUGUAGCAGUGAAAUGCGUAGAUAUGCGGAGGAACACCGAUGGCGAAGGCAAUCCCCUGGGCCUGCACUGACGCUCAUGCACGAAAGCGUGGGGAGCAAACAGGAUUAGAUACCCGAGUAGUC
rnacentral:rRNA from 1 species